AACGCAUCGUGACGUUGUGAGGGUUGCAUAACUUCCGGAUCCGCGCGCCCGUUCAACCGGAGAGGUCAUGGAACAGGUUUGACCAAUCGCCGCAAUGUAAAAUCAAAAUUCGAGCCAAGGCCACAGUGCGCGCGUAUCAAUAUAC